ensembl:snoRNA SNORA62 Small nucleolar RNA SNORA62/SNORA6 family
GCUGCACACUAUUAAAGCUCGGGGAGGAGGCCAGCCUUGGACUCCUGGGUGUCGGAAGUGUGCUACAUCAAUGGCAGGAUGUUCGCUAACACCAGUAGGGCUCACCUCUGUGACUGGAGAUUGAUAGUACUUGCUCCCACAUAU